rnacentral:tRNA from 13 species
GCGGGUGUAGCUCAGUGGUAGAGCGCCUGCUUGCCAAGCAGGAGGUCGCGGGUUCAAAUCCCGUCGCCCGCUCCA